CACACUAUCAUUAACUGAAUCCAUAGGUUAAUGAGGCGAACCGGGGGAACUGAAACAUCUAAGUACCCCGAGGAAAAGAAAUCAACCGAGAUUCCCCCAGUAGCGGCGAGCGAACGGGGAGGAGCCCAGAGCCUGAAUCAGUGUGUGUGUUAGUGGAAGCGUCUGGAAAGGCGCGCGAUACAGGGUGACAGCCCCGUACACAAAAAUGCACAUACUGUGAGCUCGAUGAGUAGGGCGGGACACGUGGUAUCCUGUCUGAAUAUGGGGGGACCAUCCUCCAAGGCUAAAUACUCCUGACUGACCGAUAGUGAACCAGUACCGUGAGGGAAAGGCGAAAAGAACCCCGGCGAGGGGAGUGAAAAAGAACCUGAAACCGUGUACGUACAAGCAGUGGGAGCCUCUUAAUGGGGUGACUGCGUACCUUUUGUAUAAUGGGUCAGCGACUUAUAUUCUGUAGCAAGGUUAACCGAAUAGGGGAGCCGAAGGGAAACCGAGUCUUAACUGGGCGUUAAGUUGCAGGGUAUAGACCCGAAACCCGGUGAUCUAGCCAUGGGCAGGUUGAAGGUUGGGUAACACUAACUGGAGGACCGAACCGACUAAUGUUGAAAAAUUAGCGGAUGACUUGUGGCUGGGGGUGAAAGGCCAAUCAAACCGGGAGAUAGCUGGUUCUCCCCGAAAGCUAUUUAGGUAGCGCCUCGUGAAUUCAUCUCCGGGGGUAGAGCACUGUUUCGGCAAGGGGGUCAUCCCGACUUACCAACCCGAUGCAAACUGCGAAUACCGGAGAAUGUUAUCACGGGAGACACACGGCGGGUGCUAACGUCCGUCGUGAAGAGGGAAACAACCCAGACCGCCAGCUAAGGUCCCAAAGUCAUGGUUAAGUGGGAAACGAUGUGGGAAGGCCCAGACAGCCAGGAUGUUGGCUUAGAAGCAGCCAUCAUUUAAAGAAAGCGUAAUAGCUCACUGGUCGAGUCGGCCUGCGCGGAAGAUGUAACGGGGCUAAACCAUGCACCGAAGCUGCGGCAGCGACGCUUAUGCGUUGUUGGGUAGGGGAGCGUUCUGUAAGCCUGUGAAGGUGGCCUGUGAGGGUUGCUGGAGGUAUCAGAAGUGCGAAUGCUGACAUAAGUAACGAUAAAGCGGGUGAAAAGCCCGCUCGCCGGAAGACCAAGGGUUCCUGUCCAACGUUAAUCGGGGCAGGGUGAGUCGACCCCUAAGGCGAGGCCGAAAGGCGUAGUCGAUGGGAAACAGGUUAAUAUUCCUGUACUUGGUGUUACUGCGAAGGGGGGACGGAGAAGGCUAUGUUGGCCGGGCGACGGUUGUCCCGGUUUAAGCGUGUAGGCUGGUUUUCCAGGCAAAUCCGGAAAAUCAAGGCUGAGGCGUGAUGACGAGGCACUACGGUGCUGAAGCGACAAAUGCCCUGCUUCCAGGAAAAGCCUCUAAGCAUCAGGUAACAUUAAAUCGUACCCCAAACCGACACAGGUGGUCAGGUAGAGAAUACCAAGGCGCUUGAGAGAACUCGGGUGAAGGAACUAGGCAAAAUGGUGCCGUAACUUCGGGAGAAGGCACGCUGAUAUGUAGGUGAAGCGACUUGCUCGUGGAGCUGAAAUCAGUCGAAGAUACCAGCUGGCUGCAACUGUUUAUUAAAAACACAGCACUGUGCAAACACGAAAGUGGACGUAUACGGUGUGACGCCUGCCCGGUGCCGGAAGGUUAAUUGAUGGGGUUAGCGGUAACGCGAAGCUCUUGAUCGAAGCCCCGGUAAACGGCGGCCGUAACUAUAACGGUCCUAAGGUAGCGAAAUUCCUUGUCGGGUAAGUUCCGACCUGCACGAAUGGCGUAAUGAUGGCCAGGCUGUCUCCACCCGAGACUCAGUGAAAUUGAACUCGCUGUGAAGAUGCAGUGUACCCGCGGCAAGACGGAAAGACCCCGUGAACCUUUACUAUAGCUUGACACUGAACAUUGAGCCUUGAUGUGUAGGAUAGGUGGGAGGCUUUGAAGUGUGGACGCCAGUCUGCAUGGAGCCGACCUUGAAAUACCACCCUUUAAUGUUUGAUGUUCUAACGUGGGCCCCUUACCGGGGUUGCGGACAGUGUCUGGUGGGUAGUUUGACUGGGGCGGUCUCCUCCUAAAGAGUAACGGAGGAGCACGAAGGUUGGCUAAUCCUGGUCGGACAUCAGGAGGUUAGUGCAAUGGCAUAAGCCAGCUUGACUGCGAGCGUGACGGCGCGAGCAGGUGCGAAAGCAGGUCAUAGUGAUCCGGUGGUUCUGAAUGGAAGGGCCAUCGCUCAACGGAUAAAAGGUACUCCGGGGAUAACAGGCUGAUACCGCCCAAGAGUUCAUAUCGACGGCGGUGUUUGGCACCUCGAUGUCGGCUCAUCACAUCCUGGGGCUGAAGUAGGUCCCAAGGGUAUGGCUGUUCGCCAUUUAAAGUGGUACGCGAGCUGGGUUUAGAACGUCGUGAGACAGUUCGGUCCCUAUCUGCCGUGGGCGCUGGAGAACUGAGGGGGGCUGCUCCUAGUACGAGAGGACCGGAGUGGACGCAUCACUGGUGUUCGGGUUGUCAUGCCAAUGGCACUGCCCGGUAGCUAAAUGCGGAAGAGAUAAGUGCUGAAAGCAUCUAAGCACGAAACUUGCCCCGAGAUGAGUUCUCCCUGACUCCUUGAGAGUCCUGAAGGAACGUUGAAGACGACGACGUUGAUAGGCCGGGUGUGUAAGCGCAGCGAUGCGUUGAGCUAACCGGUACUAAUGAACCGUGAGGCUUAACCUU
rnacentral:rRNA from 1 species